rnacentral:rRNA from 1 species
UACGUAGGGACACGAGCGUUGUUCGGAUUUACUGGGCGUAAAGGGCGCGUAGGCGGCGUGGUAAGUCACUUGUGAAAUCUCUGAGCUUAACUCAGAACGGCCAAGUGAUACUGCUGUGCUAGAGUGCAGAAGGGGCAAUCGGAAUUCUUGGUGUAGCGGUGAAAUGCGUAGAUAUCAAGAGGAACACCUGAGGUGAAGACGGGUUGCUGGGCUGACACUGACGCUGAUGCGCGAAAGCCAGGGGAGCAAACGGG